GUGGGGAAUAUUGGGCAAUGGGGGAAACCCUGACCCAGCGACGCCGCGUGAGGGAAGAAGGUUUUCGGAUUGUAAACCUCUGUCUUCGGGGACGAUAGUGACGGUACCCGAGGAGGAAGCCACGGCUAACUACGUGCCAGCAGCCGCGGUAAAACGUAGGUGGCAAGCGUUGUCCGGAAUUACUGGGUGUAAAGGGAGCGCAGGUGGAUUGGCAAGUCGAAUGUGAAAUGCAGAGGCUCAACCUCUGAACUGCGUUCGAUACUGUUGAUCUUGAGUGGAGUAGGGGCAGGCGGAAUUCCCGGUGUAGCGGUGGAAUGCGUAGAUAUCGGGAGGAAUACCGGUAGCGAAGGCGGCCUGCUGGGCUCUAACUGACACUGAGGCUCGAAAGCGUGGGGAGCAAACAGG
rnacentral:rRNA from 1 species